rnacentral:rRNA from 1 species
CGAACGGGUGAGUAAUACAUAAGUAACCUGCCCUAGACAGGGGGAUAACUAUUGGAAACGAUAGCUAAGACCGCAUAGGUACGGACACUGCAUGGUGACCGUAUUAAAAGUGCCUCAAAGCACUGGUAGAGGAUGGACUUAUGGCGCAUUAGCUGGUUGGCGGGGUAACGGCCCACCAAGGCGACGAUGCGUAGCCGACCUGAGAGGGUGACCGGCCACACUAGGACUGAGACACGGCCCAGACUCCUACGGGAGGCAGCAUG